CACAGGAAGAGCGAAUGAUGAGGAGCUUGCUCCUCUGAUUUAGCGGCGGACGGGUGAGUAACACGUGGGUAAUCUGCCUGUAAGACGGGGAUAACUCCGGGAAACCGGGGCUAAUACCGGAUAACAAGAGAAGAAGCAUUUCUUCUUUUUGAAAGUCGGUUUCGGCUGACACUUACAGAUGAGCCCGCGGCGCAUUAGCUAGUUGGUGAGGUAACGGCUCACCAAGGCGACGAUGCGUAGCCGACCUGAGAGGGUGAUCGGCCACACUGGGACUGAGACACGGCCCAGACUCCUACGGGAGGCAGCAGUAGGGAAUCUUCGGCAAUGGGCGAAAGCCUGACCGAGCAACGCCGCGUGAGCGAUGAAGGCCUUCGGGUCGUAAAGCUCUGUUGUUAGAGAAGAACAAGUACGAGAGUAACUGCUCGUACCUUGACGGUACCUAACCAGAAAGCCACGGCUAACUACGUGCCAGCAGCCGCGGUAAUACGUAGGUGGCAAGCGUUAUCCGGAAUUAUUGGGCGUAAAGCGCGCGCAGGCGGUCUCUUAAGUCUGAUGUGAAAGCCCACGGCUCAACCGUGGAGGGUCAUUGGAAACUGGGAGACUUGAGUGCAGGAGAGAAAAGUGGAAUUCCACGUGUAGCGGUGAAAUGCGUAGAGAUGUGGAGGAACACCAGUGGCGAAGGCGGCUUUUUGGCCUGUAACUGACGCUGAGGCGCGAAAGCGUGGGGAGCAAACAGGAUUAGAUACCCUGGUAGUCCACGCCGUAAACGAUGAGUGCUAGGUGUUGGGGGGUUCCACCCUCAGUGCUGAAGUUAACACAUUAAGCACUCCGCCUGGGGAGUACGACCGCAAGGUUGAAACUCAAAGGAAUUGACGGGGGCCCGCACAAGCAGUGGAGCAUGUGGUUUAAUUCGAAGCAACGCGAAGAACCUUACCAGGUCUUGACAUCCUUUGACCACUCUAGAGAUAAGAGCUUUCCCUUUCGGGGGACAAGUGACAGUGGUGCAUGGUGUCGUCAGCUCGUGUCGUGAGAUGUGGGUUAGUCCCGCAACGAGCGCACCUUGACUCUAGUUGCCAGCAU
rnacentral:rRNA from 2 species